UUCCGGUUGAUCCUGCCGGAGUUAUUGCUAUUGGAGUCCGAUUUAGCCAUGCUAGUCGUACGGUUUGGACCCGUGGCGACAAGCUCAGUAACACGUGGCCAAACCACCCUACGGAGAGGGAUAACCUCGGGAAACUGAGGCUAAUCCCUCACAAGGCUGCCGAGCUGAAAUGCUGGAAGCUGGAAAUGCUCCGGCGCCAAGAGGUGGCUGCGGACGAUUAGGUAGACGGUGGGGUAACGGCGCACCGUGCCGACAAUCGGUACGGGAUGUGAGAGCAAGAGCCCGGAGACGGUAUCUGAGACAAGAUACCGGGCCCUACGGGGCGCAGGAGGUGCGAAACCUUUAACUGCACGACAGUAUCUGAAGGGGACCCGGUGCCUACGCAUAGAGUCCUCGCUUUACCUUUCGUUGGGGUGCAGCGUAAGAGCUGCCAAGACCGAUGCAGCCGCCGCGGGAUACCGGCAGCUCGAAGUGAUGGCCGCUAUAAUUGCUGCUAAAGA
rnacentral:rRNA from 1 species